rnacentral:rRNA from 1 species
UGAUCCUGGCUCAGAACGAACGCUGGCGGCGUGCCUAACACAUGCAAGUCGAACGGAGAUAAGGGGCUUGCUCCUUAUUUUAGUGGCGCACGGGUGAGUAACGCGUGGAUAAUCUACCUUGGAAUCUGGGAUAACAUUUCGAAAGGGGUGCUAAUACCGGAUAAGACCACGAGCUCUUUGGAGUUUGCGGUAAAAGGGGGCCUCUGUAUAUGCUUCUGUUUCAAGAUGAGUCCGCGUACCAUUAGCUAGUUGGCAGGGUAAUGGCCUACCAAGGCGACGAUGGUUAGCUGGUCUGAGAGGAUGAUCAGCCACACUGGAACUGAGACACGGUCCAGACUCCUACGGGAGGCAGCAGUGGGGAAUUUUGCGCAAUGGGGGAAACCCUGACGCAGCAACGCCGCGUGAGUGAUGAAGGCCUUCGGGUCGUAAAGCUCUGUCAGAGGGAAAGAAGUGUAU